rnacentral:misc_RNA from 1 species
GAUGAAGAACGUAGCGAAAUGCGAUAAGUAGUGUGAAUUGCAGAAUUCAGUGAAUCAUCGAAUCUUUGAACGCACAUUGCGCCCUUUGGUAUUCCUUAGGGCAUGCCUGUUCGAGCGUCAUUUAAACCUUCAAGCUAAGCUUGGUGUUGGGUGACUGUCCGCUUCACGGCGGACUCGCCUCAAAAUUAUUGGCGGCCGGUACAUUGGCUUCGAGCGCGGCAGAAACGCGAACUCGGGCCCGUCGUAUUGGCUCCCAGAAGCUAUCUUCACAAUUUUGACCUCGGAUCAGGUAGGGAUACCCGCUGAACUUAAGCAUAUCAAUAAGCGGAGGA